rnacentral:ncRNA from 1 species
UAAUUGGCUAGUGGCAGCCAAGUGUUCAUAGUGACAUCGCUUUUUGAUCCUUUGAUGUCAGCUCUUCCUAUCAUUGUGAAGGAGAAUUCACCAAGCAUUGGGUUGUACAGCCACUAACAGGGAAUAUAAACUGGGUUAGACCAUCAUGAGACAGGUU